UGUUAAAAUUUAAAAAUAAAUUUAAAUUAUGACAUGCAUCUUAACAUUUAUAUAAAUAUAUAUCAUAACCUAAAUAUAAAUAAUUUAAUAACUUAAAUUAGAAAAAAAUAAAAAUCCCGGGCGUAGCUCGGGUUAAUCCCUAGUCUUAUAAUAUAAAGCAGAAGUUAACUCUCUUCUAGAGAGGACACGUCACUUAAUACUAUCACCAGAACAUGACACAUGUCCAAUCUUCCGCGAGUUCUGUUUAAUUCACCGAGUUCUUGGUGGGCUUUCAGUAAUAAUGGGUUGCUAUUCUGUUUUGUAAAUAUCCCAGCCCAAAAGAAAGUUCCAGCUUUCUCCGCCAUAGACGAAAGCUAAAUUAGGGUUAGUCCUCUUCUACCAUCUCCAGACCAAAAAUGAAGAUAAGCAUGUCGAGAGAUAUGAAUCGUCGGGAAGAAUCACUGUCUCAAGCUUCUACUGCGCCGUUUCGUCUUUGGUUCUUACAUUACGAGUGUUUUGAUUCAUUGAAUUUAAGAAACUUCUUAACCCCAUCAACGCAAAUCAAGCAUGAUAUCUCAUUCAAUGAUACUCAUUCAUCUUCUAGGCGGUGCUUUUUUACCUAUAAAAGGGUAAGUCUUCUCCCCUUGAACAUCAUCCUCACAGUUCGUGCUAAUCCAAAAAAAAAAUAAACAAUUUCCAGUAUCAUGCUUCUCCGAUGAUUCUUAAAAUCUCAUGAUCAUAUUAGUUUUUAAUUAUUUUUGGCAUUCAGAUUCAUAUAUAAAUUUCCAUUAAAAGAUCUUUUGAAUGAGAUAUGUUUAUUGAAUCCUUUCUUUUCACAUUUGUUGAACCAAAACUUACCGCAAUUGUGCCGUAUAAUCAAUGAAAGAACGAAGAGAUGAUUAGCCCCUGCAGCCGCCAUGAAAUCUGUGGAGUUUUUGGUUAUGCUUGCUGUUCUAACCUCAGUUUAUGCUAGAAGUCAGCUGAUGUGAUAGAAUUGAAGAUUGGUGACAAUGUAUGCUAAAAAAGCUCUUUUGCGUCGUUAUAUUUGGGAAGCAACUGGUACCAACUUCCAUGGUGAACUUGAUCUCUCAAUCUGCGUGAUUGGAAGAUGACUUAGUAUUGAAUUAUUCACUUUUACAAUUCAAGCCUUGGAAAUGUGAUGUUCAGACUCACAAAGGAGACAUUAUCAAGGUGUACUAUCGGUAAGUGUCUUAUUAAAUAUUUUUGUUAUGAUAAGCAGUAAGUAAGAUUAAGUAGUCAACUAUAGUUUAUUAUGGUUCAGUUCUUGGGUUCAAAAAGCCCCUGAUUACAUAUUUUACAGGUCAGACUUUGCUGAAUCUAUUUGUUUUCUUUCUUAUUUCAUUAUGUAAGAAAACCAAAUUACGAAAGAAUAGAAAAAAGUUAGAGAGAGCCUUGCAAUAAAGACAUAGUCUGUUUAUUUGAAUCAGUCUUGCGAUGCCAAGUAAUACACAGAGUGGUGUUACGACUGCGAAUGUUACGGGGAUGAUAAGUUAUGCUCACAUCCGUGAUUUGUCGGAAAUAUCGGCUUACAAGAGCUGUUUCCGGCUAAAGGAACCAGAGUUGACGUGGCUCUGGUCUUAUAUACUUCAGCGUUGGUGUUGUUCGCAAGCAAUACUCGCUCUUCUUUUUGUUCGAUAUACCGAGAGAUUGCGUUGCUGUUCGUGGUGAAAAAUGAGGUAGUGGUUAUUAUUAAGAUUGCCUAGAUGAAGUUUGAGUAUUGGUCUCUCUCUCUCAUAUGAUUUUCUUUAUAAGUAACUCAGAUGUGUUUUACUAUGAAGUUUAUGAAAAGUGUGUCCAUAUGAAGAUAACUCAAUGCUAUCAAAAGUCAAUGGUAAAAUAUAUGACUGUACACUA